rnacentral:sRNA from 1 species
UGUACAUUCCAUUCUCCGUAAAAUCCUAAAAUAACCCGCGGUGAUUAACAGGUUAAAUAGUCUUUUCAGAUUAAACUCAGAACAGAAAUUUGCGCUACGUAACGGACAACCGGAAUUAUCCGAUAAAAAAAUGCCGGCAUUUCGCCGGCAUUAUUUAUGAAA